rnacentral:lncRNA from 1 species
CUUAGAGUAUUCUUACUAAAUUAUUAAGUCGAUAUAUUUUGCUGAUCUAUGAUGACAACAUCAUUUACCGAGAAUAGAGAUUGAUUACGAGAAAGGCAUGAAAUAUUCGGGUUACGAGUAAUACGCUGUGUCCAAGAACGCAAAUCGCCGUAUGUCACAAAUGUUUGUGAUUUAAUAGAACACCUUGGAUUUUAUUAUAUUUAUACAAUAACUUUGUGUCAAGAAAUUUGGACUGUGAAUGAAACCCAAAGGCGUAAGAAUCGUGGAACACAUUGGUACAAAAAAUCAUGACUGGAAUAAAGGAAUUACACAAACAUGAACUUGUUAGAUUGGUGACCGUAUAUUGAGUUCAGAAAGUCGACAAACAUACCCAUUUUUAAUUUAUCAAUUUAUUGCAAGCCCUUAGAUUUAGAUUUAGCCAUGCCUUCCGAUUUUUGUAGACAAACAGCAAACAUCAUCUGUCCCAAUACCCACAAUAGUCAUUAAACAACUUUGUGUUCUACAUUGUAAUUAUAUUCGCAUCUUGCAUAUUUAAAAGGACCAAUCUUAUUUUUCAACACUGUUUGAGUUUUCAUUUUAUUCUGUACUUAUAAUACUUUUGUUGCAUACCAAUGCAUUUGCUUCAUUUUAUUAGGACAACAAAUGAUUGCUUAGAAAGCAAAAUAAAGUUGGUGUAGGUAGUCCAACUGAAGAGGGCAUUUCUCCGUGUUUCUGCUGUUUACUAUAAAAUAGGUUUCUAAAGCCGCAAUUACAUGUAGAACAGUGGUGGCCAAUCAGAGAUAUGUAUUUAAAGUAUUUUGAUGUUGGAUGUGUACGGAUUGAUAGUUUAGUGUUAGAUGCAUGAUUUUUUUUUAUAAGUUGUUAGUGGCUUUGAACUAGCUGUCAGAUAACUGCGAGUACUCUCAGAUCUGUUCCUAGUGUCUUUUUGUUAUCGGGAUCAUAAAUGAGACCGUUAGUUUUCUCUUUUGAAUUGUUUUACAUUGUCAUAUCGGGGCCUUUUAAAGCUGACUAUGCGGUAUGGGCUUUGCUCAUUGUUGAAGGACGUACAGUGACCUAUAGUUGUUAAUGUAUGUGUCAUUUUUUGGUUUCUUGUGGACAGUUGUCUCAUUGGCAAUCAUACCACAUCUUCUUUUUUAUAUUAAGCAUUUGAAAAAUCAUACAAAAUACCUUAUGCAUGUAUUUACAUGAUAUAAGCUUAUUAUUACACUUGCAUAUAUGAAUAACACGUGACAAAAAGGUUUCAUAUGAAAUAAAAUUUAAAAAAUAAAAUCCUCCCACCCGCCCCAUUUUAAAAAAAAAUUUGGAUGAAAAUCUACUAAUUAAUUUUAGUUGGCCUUAUAGUCGACAUAAUAUAAUAAAGUGGUUAAAAAUGAGUAGCAUAAAUAAUAUAAAUACGUGUAUCUACAAGCACAAUAUAUCAAAGCAGCAUUAACAAAACAUACACACAUGCGUCUAUAAUACGUAAAAGUUGUUUCACAAUGUUCCAAUUUUUUACUUAAAGUUACCCCCACCCCCCAAAGACUUUUUGUCGAAAGCACCAUGCUAUGAAUAGAAUGAGCAUUACUUUUGUGCUAAAGUAGAAACAAAAAAAUAUAUCAUAAAAGUUCUGUAAAUUUCCAAUUUUUUUUUCUCAAUUUGCAUGUUUUAAAU